rnacentral:rRNA from 1 species
AUAAGUGAAAUAAGGGCGUAUGGGGGAUGCCUAGGCUCUUGGAGGCGAAGAAGGACGUGUUAAGCUGCGAUAAGCCCUGGGGAACUGCACAAGAGUGUUGAUCCGGGGAUUUCCGAAUGGGGCAACCCACUGGAUGGAAGAUCCAGUAUCCUAAAAUAGGAGGCAAACCUGCUGAACUGAAACAUCUAAGUAAGCAGAGGAAGAGAAAACAAAAGUGAUUCCGUAAGUAGUGGCGAGCGAAAGCGGAUUAGCCCAAACCAGUAUUGUUUAGGCAAGACUGGGGUUGUAGGACUUCGAUAUCUGUACAUAAGAGGAACAAGAACUGUCUGGGAAGGCAGGCCGAAGGAGGUGAGAGCCCUGUAUUGGUAAGACUUGUGUAUAGUAGGAGUAUCCUGAGUAGGGGGGAGCUGGUGAAACUCCCUUUGAAUCUGCCGGCACCAUCCGGUAAGGCUAAAUACUACCAAGAGACCGAUAGUGAACGAGUACUGUGAAGGAAAGGUGAAAAGUACCCUGAGUAAGGGGGUGAAAAGACCCUGAAACCAUACGCUUACAAGCGGUCGGAGCCCAGUAAUUGGGUGACGGCGUGCCUUUUGCAUAAUGAGCCUACGAGUUACUUUUUCUGGCGAGGUUAAUCACGUAGACGUGAGCAGCCGGAGCGAAAGCGAGUCUGAAUAGGGCGCUUAGUCAGAGGGAGUAGACGCGAAACUUUGUGAUCUACCCAUGAGCAGGUUGAAGCUCCGAUAACACGGAGUGGAGGACCGAACCAGUUUACGUUGAAAAGUAUUUGGAUGACUUGUGGGUAGGGGUGAAAGGCCAAUCAAACUGAGAAAUAGCUCGUACUCCCCGAAAUGUUUUUAGGAACAGCCUCGGGGUUAAGUUUUAAGCAGGUAAAGCUACCGAUAGGACUAGGGGGAGUCAAAUCCUACCAAAUCCUGACGAACUCUGAAUGGCUUAAAAUAUACCCGGGAGUGAGGGCUAGGGUGCUAAGGUCCUAGUCCGAGAGGGAAAGAACCCAGACCAACAGCUAAGGUCCCUAAAUUUUUACUAAGUUGAACAAAGGAGGUCUGAUUGCAGUGACAGCCAGGAUGUUAGCUUGGAAGCAGCUAUUCAUUUAAAGAGUGCGUAACAGCUCACUGGUCGAGCGAGGCGGGCAUCGAUAAUAAACGGGCAUCAAGUAAAAUACCGAAGCUUUGGAUUGUAUGUAAAUACACUGGUAGGGGAGCAUUCUGAUAGCGGUGAAGGUGAAGCGACAAGCUUUGUUGGAGCGAUCAGAAAAGCAAAUGUAGGCAUGAGUAACGAUAAUGAAGGCGAGAAACCUUCACGCCGAAAGACUAAGGAUUCCUCAGCUAUGCUAAUCAACUGAGGGUUAGUCGGGGGCUAAGGGUCUAGCGAGAGCGACAACCUAAUGCACAGCAGGUUAAUAUUCCUGCACUUACUUAUAGGGGGCGUAGAUGACGGAGAGAGAGGCUUAUCAGGUACUGACGGAAUAGUGCCUUUGAGUUGCGGCAGCAAUGCCAAAGCGAGUAUAGGGAUUGAUCUUCCAAGAAAAGUCUGCAACUUUAACUUAUGAGUAACCCGUACCGUAAACCGACACAGGUGGUCGAGAAGAAUAUUCUAAGGCGCUCGAGUGAAUCACGGCUAAGGAACUCGGCAAAUUAACCCUGUAACUUCGGGAUAAAGGGAGCCUCGAGUAAUCGAGGCCGCAGAGAAAUGGCCCAGGCGACUGUUUAACAAAAACACAUGGCUUUGCAAAAUCGAAAGAUGACGUAUAAGGCCUGACACCUGCCCGGUGCUGGAAGGUUAAGGGGGGAUGUUAGCCGCAAGGCGAAGCAUUGAACUGAAGCCCCAGUAAACGGCGGCCGUAACUAUAACGGUCCUAAGGUAGCGAAAUUCCUUGUCGGGUAAGUUCCGACCUGCACGAAUGGCGUAACGAUGGCCACACUGUCUCCUCCAGAGACUCAGCGAAGUUGAAAUGUUUGUGAUGAUGCAAUCUCCCCGCGGAAAGACGGAAAGACCCCAUGAACCUUUACUGUAGCUUUACAUUGGACUUUGAACAGAUCUGUGUAGGAUAGGUGGGAGGCUUUGAAGUGAGGAUGCUAGUUCUCAUGGAGCCGACGUUGAAAUACCACCCUGGUGUGUUUGAGGUUCUAACCUUGGCCCGUGAUCCGGGUUGGGGACAGUGUAUGGUGGGCAGUUUGACUGGGGCGGUCUCCUCCCAAAGUGUAACGGAGGAGUUCGAAGGUACGCUAAAUACGGUCGGAAAUCGUGUUGAUAGUGCAUUGGCAUAAGCGUGCUUGACUGCGAGACUGACAAGUCGAGCAGGUACGAAAGUAGGACAAAGUGAUCCGGUGGUUCUGUAUGGAAGGGCCAUCGCUCAACGGAUAAAAGGUACUCUGGGGAUAACAGGCUGAUACCGCCCAAGAGUUCAUAUCGACGGCGGUGUUUGGCACCUCGAUGUCGGCUCAU